GCUUUAAACGUUUAUAUUGGAAUGUUCAAUAUUUGGCCUUGAACAUCUUUGCAAAGACAUUAACAUUUGUACCGUUUUAAUGUCAUUCAACCUACCCCUAGGAACCAUUACUUUGGUAGUUUUCUUGUGAUUAACAAGCUCAUUGCAAGUUAUAAAUGAAUCAAUAGAAAAGAGUGUCUUUUGUCUUCAGACCAUCCUUUUAAGUAUAAUAACGCACACUAUUUCGUUUUGUUUUUCGAAAGUCUCAUAAUGACACUGGUAAGAACAACGCGGGAUGAAUUGUCACGGAUUUGUGCACAA
rnacentral:lncRNA from 1 species